UACGAAGGGGGCUAGCGUUGUUCGGAAUCACUGGGCGUAAAGCGUAUGUAGGCGGAUCGUUAAGUCGGGGGUGAAAUCCCGAGGCUCAACCUCGGAACUGCCUUCGAUACUGGCGAUCUUCGAGUCCGGGAGAGGUGAGUGGAACUCCGAGUGUAGAGGUGAAAUUCGUAGAUAUUCGGAAGAACACCAGUGGCGAAGGCGGCUCACUGGCCCGGUACUGACGCUGAUAUACGAAAGCGUGGGGAGCAAACAGG
rnacentral:rRNA from 1 species